AGUUAGCCCUUUGCCGGGCGCCUCCUGCAGCCAGCGCGCCCCGGAGCGAGCGCACACGCGGGAAAUGCAGGGGCUGUUCGGCACCUCGCCCCGGGCUCAGUCUCCCCCAUCUGAUCCCAGUGCUCGUGCGGCAUGCGAAGCCCUCCCCUAACCAUACUAGCCAGGACUCCUGCUAACGGCUGGGGCAGGUUAGAAAGGGCAGCGCUUGCUUCUGAUCUUUGUAGGUCCCGGUUAGUAGUGAGUCUGUUGGUCGGUGGAGCAUUUCCUACAGGUCUCAUUCUGAUGACAACCAUGAGAAUAGCUGAUCUGCAGACUGAACCCUCUCCGGCUACUGCAUGCUAAAUUGUGCUAGUAAGAAUUAAGAUCUGAACUAUUGAUCAGGCCACACAUGUAACAUUUGUUUAGCCUGGAAUUAUCAAACUUACUUUGAAAGGAAAGGAGAGUGUUUCUGCAAAACUCAAUUAAAAUUAUUCAAAGAUUUUGAAUGACGGGUACUUCUACAUGUACCCUGUUUUGAAAUGACUUUUGUCUUCAUAUAGCACAAUGACUUGUUACUUACCCUUUCAAGCUUCCCAAAUACUUAGUCUUUUUGAAAAGUCAUACAACAGCAGCAGGUGGAAGAAAACAGGCUGUAAUUAAGCAAGUUAUUUACUUUGUGCUCAAAAUUCUUCAACAAUCUAGUUUCCAUUUAUAUUAAAGGGAGGUUUUCUCACCAUUGACCUGAGUGACAGCAGGAUUAGAUGCCAGGGUCAAAAUUUUCAAAAGUGACCAGUGAUUUGGGGUGUCAGUUUUUGGGUAUCCAAGUUGGGGCACCUGGGCCUGAUUUUUCUGAGGUUGAUUUCAGCUGUAAUUGUCAGUUGCCUAAUUUUUCAGAACACUUACAAUUCCAGCUGAAACCAGUAGGAACUGAGCUGAGGUAUCUCACCCCAAAUCAGUGGCCACUCUUGAAAAUGUGGUUUUGUAUGUAUGUGAAUACUGCAUUUCAGACAAACUAUUGCUGUGUAUCAGUUUUGUACUACAAAAGUGCCUAGAGGCCUCAGCCAAGACCUAGCCCUCAUUGUUCAAGGCACUGUACACGCACGAACAAGAUGACCUCUGGUCAGGGCUGGCUCCAGCUUUUUUGCUGCCCCAAGUGGCAA